rnacentral:rRNA from 1 species
UACGUAGGGGGCAAGCGUUGUCCGGAUUUAUUGGGCGUAAAGAGCGUGUAGGCGGUUUGGUAGGUCCGCUGUGAAAACUCGAGGCUCAACCUCGAGACGCCGGUGGAAACCAUCAGACUAGAGUCCGGAAGAGGAGAGUGGAAUUCCUGGUGUAGCGGUGAAUGACGCAGAUAUCAGGAAGAACACCCGUGGCUAAGGCGGCUCUCUAGUACGGUACUGACGCUGAGACGCGAAAGCGUGGGGAGCGAACAGG